rnacentral:sRNA from 1 species
CCAGCGCUGUACUAUCCCUUCCAGCGCUGAUCGCGACCCGGUGCCCGCACCACCGUGCCGCACGAGCCCCGGAGAUCCGCACCUCCGGGGCUCACCUUUU